rnacentral:ncRNA from 1 species
ACGGUGCCCGCAAGGGCCUGAAAGGGAAGAGGGGUGAGGCCGGCCAUCAGGCUAUGCCCCCGCGGACCCGCCGCUGUGAGCGAGGACAAAGGGCUGCCACGUCACUGAUCAUGCGAUCGGGAAGACUGCCCGGAGGACGAUUCGCGAGCCAGAAGACCUGCCGCUGCC